rnacentral:tRNA from 1 species
GAGGGUGGAGCUCAGGGUAGAGCACGUGCUUAGCACGCGGGAGGCCCUGGGUUCACUCCCCGGCACCUCCA